CGAUAGUAACACCAGAAUUAAAAGUGGAGCGGAGAAGCUAUGGCCACUUUAGCCCGGCUGCAAGGUCGGGCGUCGAUUAUAGAAAAUCAGUACUACUUUAGGAAUAGCAUUGUGGAUAAAUUUAGAAAACGGGAGAAUAAUGCAGCAAUUAAAAUCCAGAGCUGGUUUCGAGGAUGUCAAGUUCGAGCGUACAUCAGGUAUUUGUCCAAAAGAAUAACAAUUAUUCAAAAAUGGUGGAGAGGUUACAUAGGCAGAAAAAAGUACCAACUCUUGGUGAAGAUAGCAUAUUAUACUAUGAAGAUGAAUCUCUACAAUACAAUGGCUGUCAGGAUUCAGAGACGAUGGCGAGGCUAUAGGAUUCGGAAAUACUGCUUUAAUUAUUUUUAUUUGAAAGAGUACCUGAGAGCUGUUUCAGAGACCAAUGAUGCAAUCAGGGAGGCACUGGAAGAGUUUGCAGAGAUGAAAGAAAGAGAAGAGAAGAAGGCCGACCUCGAAAGGGAAGAGAAGAAAAGAGAUUACCAAGCCCGAAAGAUGCAUUACCUCCUCAGCACAAAGCAGAUUCCAGGUAUAUACAAUUCGCCAUUCAGAAAAGAGCCUGAUCCAUGGGAGCUGCGCUUACAGAAGGCAAAGCCUUUAACACACCAUAUCCCUAAAGUUAAGCAGAAGCACACCAUAAACCUUGACAACUGGCUAGCUUGUACAAGCACUCGUUCAUUUCCUCGAUCUGAAAUUCUGCCACCCAUUAAUAGGAAGCAAUGUCAGGGGCCCUUCCGAGAUAUCGCUGAAGUAUUACAGCAACGCUAUAAGCCUUUGGAGCCAACCUUACGGGUGGCAGAACCAAUCAACAUGUUAAAGGAGGUCAGAGAGGAGUUCAGAAGAGAUGAAAGGACAAGAAACAUAAAUGACAAUAUGUUUUUGCCAUUUUCUUCUUACCAUAAAAAUAAAAACUACCUUCCAUUAAUGCAUUCAUCAAGCAAGUAUGGUCCUGAUUCUUGUGGAUAUCAACGUUUCCGAGAUGAAAAUCCUAAGAAAUGGAUCAGUGGCAAGGAUUUCCAAACUGUGUUACCAUCAUUUGAUCUCUUCUCAAAGUGUGGAAAGUUAUAUUCAAAAGCUGGACAAAUUGUAUAAAGGGUUCUCUAAGUGGUGAUCAAGAUUAAUGUUUAAAGACAGCUUGACUCCAAAGCAGUAAAAUCUCCCAAAAAAGAAAAAGAAGUUUGCUUACAAAAGAAGAAAUUCCCAGUGGCAUCAGACUUCUCACCUGCAAUAAGAAAUGCCAGAGAGCAAAUCACGGAUUACAGAAUUUUGAGUGGCGCAUACCGUCAAGAUUGCUAAUCAGGACCACAAUUGGUGCAGAGAUCAGAGAACACAUAAUUCCAGCAAAGCUAUAUGUGAGUCAGUGGCCUAAUGACAUUAACUGAGUAACUCUAAGUGAGGAAAUUUAAAUAGAGUAUUUGAGGGCUCUUGUAUUGUUGGGUUUUGUUUUCUUCUUUCAUUUU